AACGAACGCUGGCGGCGUGCCUAACACAUGCAAGUCGUGCGAGAAAGUUCCUUCGGGAGCGAGUAAAGCGGCGCACGGGUGAGUAACACGUAGGUAACCUGCCCCCCAGUCUGGAACAACUAGAGGAAACUCUAGCUAAUGCCGGAUGAGACCACGAUCCCCUUCGGGGGUUGCGGCCAAAGAUGGCCUCUACUUGUAAGCUAUCGCUGAGGGAUGGGCCUGCGGGCCAUUAGCUUGUUGGUGAGGUAACGGCUCACCAAGGCUGUGAUGGCUAGCUGGUCUGAGAGGAUGACCAGCCACACUGGGACUGAGACACGGCCCAGACUCCUACGGAGGCAGCAGUGGGGAAUAUUGCGCAAUGGGCGAAAGCCUGACGCAGCGACGCCGCGUGGUGAUG
rnacentral:rRNA from 1 species